AUUAUUUUUCCUAGGGCACAAAUUUUGUAAAACAUCAAUCUCUUCUAAAACAGCAGAAACACACGAGAGAGCAAAAUUAGGCGGCUGAGAGCAAAAUCAGUAGAAGACAGACAAUGAGGGUUUUCAAGAACAAGAGCAAAAAUUAUUAGCCAAUGUGAAUCUAAGGGUGCUUUCACCGCUUGUGAUGAUAUGUGAAGCUUUAUUUCUUCUUAAUUAACAUCGUCGUCGCUUGUACGAGUAGUUAAAUCAAAUUUAGGAAAGAUAUCAGGAAAUAUUAUGGGAACAAACACAAACUCGGUCUGAUAUUGAUCAAUGUAAAGCAUAUUAUGAAGUCGCGGGAGGGGAAAAAAAGAGAAGAUUAUAUAGUCUUGGAUCUCAAGAAAAAUUCUACUAUGAGCCGAAUCUUUGUGGCUCUUCUGGAUCAGAUGCUUCAUCAUCAAUACCACCUUCAAGUUCUCAAUCAGCAUCAAUAGAGAAUUUGGAUGAGUUAGUGAUGCGUUUGAUUCCUGCACUAACAGAGCGCAUAAUUAUUGUUGGUGUUAGAGAUGAUUCAAACUUAAUUGUAAUAGCUAUAUGCAUUUUGAUAUCAUUUUGGACCU